rnacentral:tRNA from 1 species
CAUCAGAUGACUGAAACGCAAGCAAUGGUCUCUUAAACCAGUUCAUGAUAUCUUAGCAAAUAUCUCUGAUGA